rnacentral:pre_miRNA from 1 species
CUUCCCUUCCCUAGUUAGUACUGGCAUAUGGACAUUCGUGUGACAUGGAACCAAUGUUCAGAUGCCCGUACUGUCUGGUGUUGG